rnacentral:rRNA from 1 species
GACGAACCGUGCGAACGUUAUUCGGAAUCACUGGGCUUAAAGCGCGUGUAGGCGGGCCGGCACGUCGGUCGCUGAAAUCCCCCGGCUCAACCGGGGAAGGGGCGCCGAUACGACCGGCCUGGAGGGGCGUAGGGGGAUCGGGAACUUCCGGUGGAGCGGUGAAAUGCGUUGAGAUCGGAAGGAACGCCCGUGGCGAAAGCGCGGUCCUGGACGCCAUCUGACGCUGAGACGCGAAAGCCAGGGGAGCGAACAGG